GCGGAUGUGGUGGAAUUGGUAGACACGCACGAUUCAGGGUCGUGUGCCCGCAAGGGCGUGGAGGUUCAAGUCCUCUCAUCCGCA
rnacentral:tRNA from 1 species